GAUGAACGCUGGCGGCGUGCCUAAUACAUGCGAGUCGAGCGAACAGACGAGGAGCUUGCUCCUUUGACGUUAGCGGCGGACGGGUGAGUAACACGUAGGUAACCUACCUAUAAGACUGGGAUAACUUCGGGAAACCGGAGCUAAUACCGGAUAAAUAUUUCGAACCGCAUGGUUCGAUAGUGAAAGAUGGCUUUGCUAUCACUUAUAGAUGGACCUGCGCCGUAUUAGCUAGUUGGUAAGGUAACGGCUUACCAAGGCAACGAUACGUGGCCGACCUGAGAGGGUGGUCGGCCACACUGGAACUGAGACACGGUCCAG
rnacentral:rRNA from 1 species